rnacentral:misc_RNA from 1 species
UUGAUUAUUUGUUUAAUCCACUCAGAAGAUACCAUAAUAAUACAAGAGUUAGAGUCCCCCGGCGGGCGCCUGGGUCCGGGGCACACUGAAGGCGCCCGGGGCGGUCCCGCCGAAGCAACGAAAAGGUAAGAUUCACAUGGGUUUGGGAGUUGUAAACUCGGUAAUGAUCCCUCCGCUGGUUCACCAACGGAGA